UGGAUCCAGACUUUGAUUCUGGCUCGGGACGAACGCUGGCGGCGUGCCUAAUACAUGCAAGUCGAGCGAGCUUGCCUAGAUGAUUUUAGUGCUUGCACUAAAUGAAACUAGAUACAAGCGAGCGGCGGACGGGUGAGUAACACGUGGGUAACCUGCCCAAGGGACUGGGAUAACACCUGGAAACAGAUGCUAAUACCGGAUAACAACACUAGACGCAUGUCUAGAGUUUGAAAGAUGGUUCUGCUAUCACUCUUGGAUGGACCUGCGGUGCAUUAGCUAGUUGGUAAGGUAACGGCUUACCAAGGCAAUGAUGCAUAGCCGAGUUGAGAGACUGACCGGCCACAUUGGGACUGAGACACGGCCCAAACUCCUACGGGAGGCAGCAGUAGGGAAUCUUCCACAAUGGACGAAAGUCUGAUGGAGCAACGCCGCGUGAGUGAAGAAGGGUUUCGGCUCGUAAAGCUCUGUUGGUAGUGGAGAAAGAUAGAGGUAGUAACUGGCCUUUAUUUGACGGUAAUUACUUAGAAAGUCACGGCUAACUACGUGCCAGCAGCCGCGGUAAUACGUAGGUGGCAAGCGUUGUCCGGAUUUAUUGGGCGUAAAGCGAGUGCAGGCGGUUCAAUAAGUCUGAUGUGAAAGCCUUCGGCUCAACCGGAGAAUUGCAUCAGAAACUGUUGAACUUGAGUGCAGGAGAGGAGAGUGGAACUCCAUGUGUAGCGGUGGAAUGCGUAGAUAUAUGGAAGAACACCAGUGGCGAAGGCGGCUCUCUGGUCUGCAACUGAGGCUGAGGCUCGAAAGCAUGGGUAGCGAACAGGAUUAGAUACCCUGGUAGUCCAUGCCGUAAACGAUGAGUGCUAAGUGUUGGGAGGUUUCCGCCUCUCAGUGCUGCAGCUAACGCAUUAAGCACUCCGCCUGGGGAGUACGACCGCAAGGUUGCAACUCAAAUGAAUUGACGGA
rnacentral:rRNA from 1 species